UACGUAGGGGGCAAGCGUUGUCCGGAAUCAUUGGGCGUAAAGAGCGCGCAGGCGGUCGCUCAAGUCGCGUGUGAAAGCCCCCGGCUCAACUGGGGAGGGUCACGCGAUACUGAUCGACUGGAAGGCAGGAGAGGGUAGUGGAAUUCCCGGUGUAGUGGUGAAAUGCGUAGAUAUCGGGAGGAACACCAGUGGCGAAGGCGACUACCUGGCCUGUUCUUGACGCUGAGGCGCGAAAGCUAGGGGAGCAAACGGG
rnacentral:rRNA from 1 species